rnacentral:rRNA from 1 species
AAAGGUGAAAAGAACCCCGGGAGGGGAGUGAAAUAGAACAUGAAACCUUAAGCUUACAAGCAGUAGGAGGACGACUUAUCGUUUGACUGCGUGCCUGUUGAAGAAUGAGCCGGCGACUUAUAGUUAGUGGCAGGUUAAGGUAGAGAAUACUGGAGCCACAGUGAAAGCGAGCUUUAAUAGAGCGUGUGUCACUAGUUAUAGACCCGAACCCGGAUGAUCUAACCAUGGCCAGGAUGAAGCCUAGGUAAUACUAUGUGGAGGUCCGAACCGACUGAUGUUGAAAAAUCAGCGGAUGAGUUGUGGUUAGGGGUGAAAUACCAAUCGAAUUCGGAGCUAGCUGGUUCUCCCCGAAAUGUGUUUAGGCGCAGCGGUUAAUAUUAUAGCUUAGAGGUAAAGCACUGUUUCGGUGCGGGCUGGUAAUUCGGUACCAAAUCGAGGCAAACUCUGAAUACUAAGUGAACAGUUAACCAGUAAGACUGUGGGGGAUAAGCUUCAUAGUCAAGAGGGAAACAGCCCAGAUCACCAGUUAAGGCCCCUAAAUAAUUAUUAAGUGGUAAAGGAGGUGGGAAGACUCAGACAGCCAGGAGGUUUGCUUAGAAGCAGCAAUCCUUUAAAGAGUGCGUAAUAGCUCACUGGUCAAGUGAUUCCGCGCCGAUAAUGUAGCGGGGCUUAAGUUAUCCGCCGAAGCUGUGGCAACCUGUGUGGUUGGGUAGGGGAGCGUCGUGUCAGUGGUGAAGCUGCCGGGUGACUGUGUGGUGGAGUUGAUGCGAGUGAGAAUGCAGGCAUGAGUAGCGUGUGACGGGUGGGAAUCCCGUCCGCCGAUUAUCCAAGGGUUCCAGGGUCAAGUUUGUCUGCCCUGGGUGAGUCGGGUCCUAAGGCGAGGCCGACAGGCGUAGUCGAUGGGUAACCAGUUGAUAUUCUGGUACCGGCUUGUCACCGUCCGUGUCGAGGUGUGUGAUGCUAAGCAUGUGAGCUUGUCUUGGGAGUGUUUUUGAUGCUUCUGGGGUGGGUGAGUGUGUGAACCGAUCAUGUAGUAGGCAAGCUGCGGAGGGACGCAGUGAGGUAGCUCAUCCCCGGUGAUGGUUGUCCGGGGCUAAGUGUGUGGACUGUCUGGUAGGUAAAUCCGCUGGGCGUGAAGGUUGAGGCAUGAUGGGGAGCCCAUGGUUGUGGGUGAGUGAGUGAUCCUGUACUGUCGAGAAAAGCUUCGUGAGCGAGGUGGCGGGUCCGCCCGUACCCUAAACCGACACUGGUGGAUAGGUAGAGUAUACUGAGGCGUUCGAGUGAAUCGUAGUGAAGGAACUCGGCAAAAUGCCCCCGUAACUUUGGGAU